UCAAUGUUGCUGUACACAUUCUCUUGAAA
rnacentral:sRNA from 1 species